CCAUCUUGUUCCACCUUGUGGCAGGUGGGAGUCCUGUCACGACAGUCUUCAAUCAAGACCAAGCCUCCUGGCUGCUGUUUUGCUCUGGUAUUCCUGGCUGUUGUCCUUGUUUUUUUGUCCAAGGGAGCCCUCAGAUUUCUCCGUUAACAAUGUUGUGAGGAGGACAGAACAGAGUUGUCUGUGAUGCAGUUGGUCAGUUAGUUUAAUAUUUUUAUUUAUUAACUUGAUGGGGGGGGGGGGCUAGCUGCACCUCUGCUCCCCGCCCCGGCUACACCCAUGAAGGUGACUUCUUUAUUUUUCCUCAACUUUGAACAGCAGCCUGACCCCGGGUUCAAGUCCCCCCUGCAGAAGCUACGCUUCAUUCCUAGGUUCCUGAAUGAUUGCCUUGCAAACUGAUUUUUCUACAACCUGGCCUGAAUCAAAGGAGAGGAGGCUGAGAUCUGGCAGAAGAAGCUCCUUGGCAGUGCAAUUUGAUGACAGGCAAGCCCAGCACAAGAAAUAAAUUUAAGAGGGAGGAAUGC